ACCGAGAGCUAAGAGUGGAGGCCGAGUCAUUUGCAAACUAUGCAUUUAAUUAUUGAUCAUAUUGCACUUGUCCCGGCCUGCUUUCUUGCUCACGU